rnacentral:rRNA from 1 species
GACAUCUACGAUGUCAGUGGUAGGAGAGCGUUCUAAGGGCAGUGAAGGUCGAUCGUGAGGACGGCUGGAGCGCUUAGAAGUGAGAAUGCCGGUAUGAGUAGCGAAAAAAGAGUGAGAAUCUCUUUCAUCGAAAGCCCAAGGUUUCCUGAGGAAGGCUCGUCCGCUCAGGGUUAGUCGGGGCCUAAGCCGAGGCCGAAAGGCGUAGGCGAUGGACAACAGGUUGAUAUUCCUGUACCAC